GGUGGGGUCAGCCUCACCGAAACAUCAUGGCUACCACUUACGGACUGAACUCCAUUGAUGUGAAGUAUCAGAUGUGGAAACUAGGAGUCGUUUUCACUGACAAUGUAAGCCUACUUCAUUAUCACAAAAGAAAAUGCACUCUGAUUAAAUAAGUCUGUGGGAGUUCUGCAGAUGGAAGGAUGGUUAUUUAGAAAAUGUUUCAAAUACCAGUUCAUUUCAUACAGACCAGAUCUAGAGAGAGACCCACAGAAUGAUAUGAUUAAGGAGCCCAUCUCUCAUUCCAUUUCUUUCAAUAGCUGAAACAUUAAAAUGAAAAUAUAUGAAAAACUGAGAUGCAGAUUUGUGAGUAUGUUCAUUAAGGUUUUAAUUGGACAAUGGCAUACUUCAGUUUUAUAGAUGUUAAAAAGAAACUCCUAAAUAAUUUUAAAAGAACAUUAAUUGUGCUAAAUUAAGUUUUCCCCAAAUUAAGUACAUUAACUUAUGGAGUUUUAUUUUUUUUUAUUCUCCUUUUACCAAAGAGCCUUUGGAGACUAAAUAUAGGGCCCUAAUAUAUAUCCA
rnacentral:sRNA from 1 species